rnacentral:rRNA from 1 species
AGUGAACGCUGGCGGUAGGCCUAACACAUGCAAGUCGAACGGCAGCACAGUAAGAGCUUGCUCUUACGGGUGGCGAGUGGCGGACGGGUGAGGAAUACAUCGGAAUCUACUUUUUCGUGGGGGAUAACGUAGGGAAACUUACGCUAAUACCGCAUACGACCUACGGGUGAAAGCAGGGGAUCUUCGGACCUUGCGCGAUUGAAUGAGCCGAUGUAGGAUUAGCUAGUUGGCGGGGUAAAGGCCCACUAAGGCGACGAUCCGUAGGUGGUCUGAGACGAUGAUCAGCCACACUGGAACUGAUACACGGUCCAGACUCCUACGGGAGGCAGCAGUGGGGAAUAUUCGACAAUGGGCGCAAGCCUGAUCCAGCCAUACCGCGUGGGUGAAGAAGGCCUUCGGGUUGUAAAGCCCUUUUGUUGGGAAAGAAAAGCAGCAGGUUAAUACCCCGCUGUUCUGACGGUACCCAAAGAAUAAGCACCGGCUAACUUCGUG